rnacentral:rRNA from 1 species
AUUGACGCUGGCGGCAGGCUUAACACAUGCAAGUCGAACGGUAACAUAAAGAAGCUUGCUUCUUUUGAUGACGAGUGGCGGACGGGUGAGUAAUGCUUGGGAAUCUAGCUUAUGGAGGGGGAUAACUACGGGAAACUGUAGCUAAUACCGCGUAAUAUCGAAAGAUUAAAGUGUGGGACCUUCGGGCCACAUGCCAUAGGAUGAGCCCAAGUGGGAUUAGGUAGUUGGUGAGGUAAAGGCUCACCAAGCCGACGAUCUCUAGCUGGUCUGAGAGGAUGACCAGCCACACUGGGACUGAGACACGGCCCAGACUUCUACGGGAGGCAGCAGUGGGGAAUAUUGCGCAAUGGGGGCAACCCUGACGCAGCCAUGCUGCGUGAAUGAAGAAGGCCUUCGGGUUGUAAAGUUCUUUCGGUAGCGAGGAGCAUUUAGUUUAAUAGACUAGGUGAUAGACGUUAACUACAGAA